CUCAUCAUUCCUCUCUGCAUGGAUGAAACAAACAAGGCAACCUCGGCCUGCAGGGAUGAGGUUCGCGGUCUCCCAGGAGGAGUCCUGGAGAAGGAAGCUUCCUCUGCAGCUGGGCCCGGCCAGGCCAAAGCAGAGGGGCCAGAGUCUGUGUGGACAGGCUGGGGUAGACCUCACGUGGCAGUGGCCUCUGAGGCUGAGCACAGCAGCCCAACUUUAACCAGUGGUUGUAUGGCUCCGGUCCCCUCUUAGGAGAAUGGGGCCACACCCAGAAGCUGGCGGCUGCUGGGGACACGAAAGGAAAGGCUGUUAGAACCAGCAAGUGAAGGUGCUUGCUGCCAACCCCCAUGACCUCAGUGUGACCCUGGAACCCACAUGGUGGAACCCACGGUUGUCCUCUGAAUCCAGAUGUGCCAUGCUACAGCACUACCUACAGCUCACAGGGUCACAGAGGGUUAAGUGCCGACACAGAGGAGAAGUCCUAACUCCGGGUAGGACACGUGGACUACAAGCGUAGUAGCUCCUGCUUCCUGCACGGGCUCUUCCGCACCUCCAGAGGAAACUCCCCACUGUCAAUCACCGGAAGGAAGGCGUUUGCGUGCCUGCGUGGCCAGCCCAAUUGAUGUGACAUCGACCUGACCCCCCUACUUUGGAACCUGACAAAAUGUUUCUGGACCCCUAGGGGGACAGAAAGCUCUCCUGGGAACUCCCACCAGGCAUGGCUGCUUCCCUUUCAUCUGCCUGUGGCGGUUUCCCCUGAGCAGGACAAGCUUCAAUAGCGCGCGUGACAGCCAAUGACAGCAUUUUCCAGGUGCCGGUGAGCAUUGAAAGGUUGCUCACAAAGAGCUUUCCACGGAAAGAAUGGACUGUACACACUCAGGUGUGUUAAGCGAGCCAGUAAACUGUCAACAUGCAGACAGGGCAUUAGUUACGGGCGUCUACUAUACGUAAAAGGCCACAGAUUUCAUGUGGGAUGCUGGUUAAGAAACCAGGGAUUUACUAUGGAUUUUUAAGUUCUGUUUUAUUUCUCUUGUUGGCUACAAUACCCAAGAAAGGCUGGCACUGGCUUGUAGCCAGUUCGAACGCAUUUCUGUUCUCUAAAGCAGGCGCUGCCUGAAGAGAAAGGUGAGCCGUGGAGGCCACCCAGCUACUCACGCCCACAUACCGAGGGGUGUCAGUGCCCGCGACGCCAGUGCGGGCGGCUCCACAGUGCACCAUGUGGGUAGCCUCAUCGUGUGAGAGAGAAACAUGGACCCUUUGUUCUGGCAGCAGAGAAUGCAUUGAUCUUAACACUGACAAGCCUCUAGCGGUUAAAGGGGCAGCGCUGGAGCCUUCUCAAGGCUGGUGGCAUCUCAGAAGGGACGUGGCUGGGCCUGCGGUGGCUCUCCGCCCCCUCCCUUUG